rnacentral:rRNA from 1 species
UACGAAGGGGGCUAGCGUUGUUCGGAAUUACUGGGCGUAAAGGGCGCGUAGGCGGUGCCUCAAGUCAGGGGUGAAAUCCUGGAGCUCAACUCCAGAACUGCCUUUGAUACUGAAGAUCUUGAGUUCGGGAGAGGUGAGUGGAACUGCGAGUGUAGAGGUGAAAUUCGUAGAUAUUCGCAAGAACACCAGUGGCGAAGGCGGCUCACUGGCCCGAUACUGACGCUGAGGCACGAAAGCGUGGGGAGCAAACAGG